AUGUGUACACACACACACCACCCUCCCCAUCACUACCACACACACACAUUCACCACCACCACUCAUUACACACAUACUCCCAUACACACUCUCCUCCACCACACACAUACACCACACACCACACAAACACCACCAUCACCACUACACACCACUCACCACUACUCACUCACACACACACACACCCCCAGCACACAAACAUACCAUCACCACUACACACAUUCAACACCACCACUCACCACACACACACCCCCCACACAAACAUACUAUCACCACCACUACACACAUUCAACACCAUCACUCACCACACACACACACCCCCCACAAACAUACCAUCACCACCACUACACACACACAUUCACCACCACCACUCACCACACACACACACCCCACACCACACAAACAUACCAUCACCACCACUACACACAUUCACCACCACUUACCACACACACACCACACAAACAUACCAUCACCACCACACACACACACCCCACCACACAAACAUACCAUCACCACCACACACACACACACACCACCACACAAACAUACCAUCACCACCACACACACACACACACCCCACCACACAAACAUACCAUCACCACUCACACACACACAUCCACCACCACCACUCACCACACCACACACAUUCAACACCACGACUCACCACACACACACACACACACACACCACACAAACAUACCAUCACCACCACACACACACACACACACCACCACACAAACAUACCUCAUCACCACUACACACACACAUUCACCACCACCACUCACCACACACCACACACAUUCAACACCACGACUCACCACACACACCACACAAACAUACCACCACUACACACACACACACACACCACACACACAUACCAUCACCACUACACACACACAUUCACCACCACCACUCACCACACACAUCCAACACCACCACUCACCACACACACACAGCCCACACCACACACACCACACAAACACCACCAUCACCACUACACACACACACAUUCACCACCACUCACUCACACACACAUUUCUUCCUCUACCUCAAACACACACAUAA
rnacentral:lncRNA from 1 species